GACCUCGGAUCAGACGUGAGUACCCGCUGAACUUAAGCAUAUCACUAAGCGGAGGAAAAGAAACUAACCAGGAU
rnacentral:rRNA from 1 species